CCUACGGGGGGUAGCAGUGGGGAAUAUUGGACAAUGGGGGCAACCCUGAUCCAGCCAUGCCGCGUGUGUGAAGAAGGCCCUCGGGUUGUAAAGCACUUUCAGUGAGGAAGAACGCCUGGUGGUUAAUACCCAUCAGGAAAGACAUCACUCACAGAAGAAGCACCGGCUAACUCCGUGCCAGCAGCCGCGGUAAUACGGAGGGUGCGAGCGUUAAUCGGAAUUACUGGGCGUAAAGCGCGCGUAGGUGGCUUGAUAAGCCGGUUGUGAAAGCCCCGGGCUCAACCUGGGAACGGCAUCCGGAACUGUCAAGCUAGAGUGCAGGAGAGGAAGGUAGAAUUCCCGGUGUAGCGGUGAAAUGCGUAGAGAUCGGGAGGAAUACCAGUGGCGAAGGCGGCCUUCUGGACUGACACUGACACUGAGGUGCGAAAGCGUGGGUAGCAAACAGGAUUAGAUACCCUGGUAGUC
rnacentral:rRNA from 1 species